GUGGACCUAAACUUUAAACACUAUUUGCUGUAGAAUUAAAGCUAAUGAGAGAGCAUGGAGCUGCCACACCAUAAUCGGUGAGGAAAAGGAUGUGAAAGGAGGAAAGGUCACCUAUUAGGAAGCCAUAACCCUGAGCUCUACAAACAUCUAUCUUCAAGCAAGAGUAAGCCUAUGACAUACCAGCCUUUCUU
rnacentral:lncRNA from 1 species